CACCGUUGAUCAAUUUAGUGGAGAAAGCACACCAGUAAUCCUGCCUUUGAAAGAAAAACAGGUUUCGGCUGCAAGGACUUGCAAUUGUAUAUUUGUAUAUAUUUUUUGCUUCAGCAAAGGCAGCGUGACAUUGAGUUUAGGAAAUCUGAUAAUGAACAGAGAUAGAGCCAUAAGAACAACCAAGAGAUAUAUUGUUCUCUUAUCUAUGUAAUCAAGCAAAUCACAAGCACCAAAUAAUAUGUAGGAAAUUGAUGGUUCAAGUUCAAGCUUCAGUCAACUGUUUGGAAUUGAAGUUUAACAAGGAUCUACCUUCCGCAUUGCGCAAUAAAAGUUAUGUUUGGUAACCAACCCUUUACUUUAUUAAUUAGUAAUCAAAUGUGAAUAUUUCUACUAGCAACUAAGUCAUAACAUUGUUACUUAAUUGAACCUUCUUGAUGUCUUUUACAGGGAGCUAUCACUAAACAAAUGACUGCAAUAGAAGAAAUAGUUGCAAGUGAGUACAAUUAGCCAGACCCUCAUCUUUGUGACAAGAUCUUGAAGUUGGUCAUUUGUGAAGCGUUCUAGUUUACUAUUAGUUGCAGUUUUAGUUAUUGCUCUCUCAAUAUAUUCUUUUUCUUUCUUUCUUUUUUUUCCCCCAAAGGAUGAUCAGUGUAAUAAUUAAACUUCAUAAUUUCUUUGUGUUUGGAGCAAGUUGUAUAUAAAUGUACACAUUAUUAAGAUUUUAUUUUGUAUAUGUACGAGUAAAAGAUUUCAUUUUUAA